CAAGUAAGUUGCGAGCGUUGUUAGGAAUUAUUGGGCGUAAAGGGUAUGUAGGCGGUUCUGCAAGUCUGGUGUGAAAUGCCGGGGCUCAACCCCGGAACUGCGUUGGAAACUGCAGGACUUGAAUCGCUGAGGGGCAGCCAGAAUUCCAGGUGUAGGGGUGAAAUCUGUAGAUAUCUGGAAGAAUACCAAUGGCGAAGGCAGGCUGCCAGCAGAUGAUUGACGCUGAGGUACGAAGGUGCGGGGAGCAAACAGG
rnacentral:rRNA from 1 species